GAUGAAGAACGUAGCGAAAUGCGAUACGUAAUGUGAAUUGCAGAAUUCAGUGAAUCAUCGAGUCUUUGAACGCACAUUGCGCCCCCUGGUAUUCCGGGGGGCAUGCCUGUCCGAGCGUCAUUGCUGCCCUCAAGCACGGCUUGUGUGUUGGGCCUCCGUCCUCCUCCCGGGGGACGGGCCCGAAAGGCCGCGGCGGCACCGCGUCCGGUCCUCGAGCGUAUGGGGCUUCGUCACCCGCUCUUGUAGGCCCGGCCGGCGCUUGCCGACACAUCAAUCUUUUUUCCAGGUUGACCUCGGAUCAGGUAGGGAUACCCGCUGAACUUAAGCAUAUCAAUAAGCGGAGGA
rnacentral:misc_RNA from 1 species